AUGUGGGAUGACGCCUUGAAGGAAAAUGAGCAGUGUUGGAAGAGGUUUAUUGCACCUUUUAGAAGUGUCCAAGAGGGAAGUGCGAUGUUGGUCACCACUAGAUGUCCAAAGGUUACCGAGGGGGUGCGCACAAUGGAGCCCGUCAUAUUAGAAGGUCUAAGGGAUGACGUCUUCUGGAAUUUCUUCAAGUCAUGCAUAUUUGGAUCUGAGAAUUCUGACAAUGAUCCUGAGUUAGAGCGUAUUGGCAGAAGUAUACUUCCUAAAUUGAAGGGUUCUCCUUUGGCCGCCAAAACUCUAGGACGGAUGUUAAGCAUGGACCUUCAAGCAUCACAUUGGAAUUUUAUACUUGAGAGUGAAUUAUGGGAGUUGAGACAAGAGCCGACUGACAUUUUGCCUGCACUUCGGUUGAGCUACAUGUACUUACCAUUCUAUUUGAAGCAAUGUUUCGCAUUCUGCGCUGUGUACCCCAAGGAUUACAGAUUUGAGAAGGCAUGCUUAGCUGAAAUUUGGGCAGCAGAAGGCUUUGUGGAACCUCAAGGUGGUGUUCCAAUUCAAAAUAUUGGCUGUCAGUAUUUUGAAGAGCUUGUAGCAAGGUCCUUCUUUCAAAAGGUAAAUGGUGGAUAUGUGAUCCAUGAUUUGCUGCAUGACAUGGCACAAAUGGUUUCAGAGCACCAUUGCUUCAUCUUAAGAAAUAAGAGUGACUUUGAUAAAAAUCCCCCAGAAUGUUCGUCAUCUGUAUGUACUCCCUAG
rnacentral:rRNA from 1 species